rnacentral:rRNA from 1 species
GGCCCAGCUUGCUGGGUACUCGAGUGGCGAACGGGUGAGUAACACGUGGGUGAUCUGCCCCAAAUUCGGGAUAAGCCUGGGAAACUGGGUCUAAUACCGGAUAUGACCUGCUCCUGCAUGGGGGUUGGUGGAAAGCUUUUGCGGUUUGGGAUGGGCCCGCGGCCUAUCAGCUUGUUGGUGGGGUAAUGGCCUACCAAGGCGACGACGGGUAGCCGACCUGAGAGGGUGUUCGGCCACACUGGGACUGAGACACGGCCCAGACUCCUACGGGAGGCAGCAGUGGGAAUAUUGCACAAUGGGCGCAAGCCUGAUGCAGCGACGCCGCGUGAGGGAUGACGGCCUUCGGGUUGUAAACCUCUUUCGCCAGGGACGAAGCGCAAGUGACGGUACCUGGAGAAGAAGCACCGGCCAACUACGUG